AUUGAACGCUGGCGGCAGGCCUAACACAUGCAAGUCGAACGCGUGGCGGACGGGUGUGUAAUGUCUGGGAAACUGCCCGAUGGAGGGGGAUAACUACUGUAAACGGUAGCUAAUACCGCAUACCAUCGGAUGUGCGCAGAUGGGAUUAGCUUGUAGGUGUGGUAACGGCUCACCUAGGCGACGCUCCCUAGCUGGUGUGUGAGGAUGACCCGCCACACUGGAACUGAGACACGGUCCAGACUCCUACGGGAGGCAGCAGUGGGGAAUAUUGCACAAUGGGCGCAAGCCGGAUGCAGCCAUGCCGCGUGUAUGAAGAAGGCCUGCGGGUUGUAAAGUACUUUCAGCGGGGAGGCGUUACCCGCAGAAGAAGCACCGGCUAACUCCGUGCCAGCAGCCGCGGUAAUUC
rnacentral:rRNA from 1 species